UCCGCUGAUAGGACACACACUAAGUAAGCCAAAGCUCCACCGCCAGACGAGUGCAGCACUGAAGGUUAGAUCCUUGGAGGGUGUGGUGGGAAGGGGUGUGGUUGCAUCUUUCUCGAGACCCAGUCAGUUGGGAAGGACAAUGACAUCACCUACUGAAUCCUUGCAGUUUCCUAUUUCCAUGUCCUGUUCCCCCAGCCCUCAGAGGUGGAAACAUCUCCAUCCUGCCUCUCCCCACCAUGGGCUCCAUGCUACUCUGCUGUGUGGCCUUUUGUCUCCUGGGAACAGGCUCCAUGGAUACUGGUGUGACUCAGACCCCACGGAAUAGGAUCACAAACACAGGAAACAGUGUUUUACUGGAAUGUUCUCAGACUAAGGGUCACGAUUAUAUGUACUGGUAUCGACAAGACCCAGGACUAGGGCUCCGGCUGAUCUACUCCUCCUACAAUGUCAAUGAUACCAACAAAGGAGAGCUCUCCAAUGGCUACAGGGUCUCUCGUAUGGAGAAGGAGAAGUUCUUCUUGUUCCUGGAGACUCCCGUCCCCAGCCAGACAGCCCUUUACCUCUGUGCCAGCAGUUAUUUGCACAGUGCUUCCUGCCCACCUGUGCUCUGCACAGGAAGACCAGCACAUUUGCUCAGGAGGGCUCAGAAGUCUUCCUGGAUGCAAGAUGUAGGAUCCUUCAAGGUCAUUCUGUGCCUGGGUGAGCCUCCAUCUGAACUCAGGGCCACCUUGGGUUAGG